AUAAUGUCAUUUGCAUUGUUGAGAUCGAGGACAAUCAGGGCGAAUUUGGAUUGCACUGGUUGGAAAAUGCAUAAACAAGAAAAACACGAUGCUGAGAUCUCAGGUUAAAAAAAAUAUUUCUCUGUCACAUGGAUUUAUAGAAUGAGAGACAAAUUCAAAGAAAUGGAGCCUUUUACAGUGGAAUUGGGAUCAGGUAUAGAUGUGAUUUCAUCCAAAUUUCGGAUUGGAUUUUUGUAUCCAAUUCCGUGUCAGCCAAACAAGUUGGUUCAUGUAAACCAGAAUGAAUUUCAGGAUUCUGGAGCCAAACGGGCUGUAAAAUCUUCAAAAAGAAUUUCCAGCAUCAGAGAGAGAGAGAGAUGCAUAGGACUAUUUCUAAGAGGAAAACAAAAUGAGAUCUGAUUUCCUGGUUAUUUUCCUAUAAAAUUGAAACGUCGGGAUCAGGUUAGCAAAUUGGCAGACGGCAGUUCGAGAUUUCCUACUUCGAGGACUAAAUUCUAACGGCUUGACAAGUUCAGUGAUCACCUAUGUAAUUUCCUCUUAUCCUGAGUAUAUGUGAAUAAUGGAUCAAAUUUCGCUGUC